UUGAUUUUGUGGUACUUUUAAUUGAACAAUGCCUUUUCUUUGUAGCAAUACCUACUUUUAUUACAAAAGUUACCUAUAAUCUUCGUUUCAAGUUCUACAAUAUACUUACCAGACAUGGACCACAUGAGUAAAAUCAUACACCUUAAUUGACAUCGAGCUUGUACCAUUGUUAAAAAUCUGAAAUUUUAUGGUGGCAAUCAGUUAAGCAUUCAUAUUUUUAAAGUGUUAGUAAAUGUUCCGCUAAAACUGCUACUCUAAAAUACGAUAGUAUAUUUUUUAUUUAGAGGCUGGUAACAUUUUCAGUUUCUUGUCAAAAUAAGCAACAACAACAAAAGGGCAUGGUCCAGUUAUUUCGUUUUCUCUAAAAAUGAUUGAAUUCCAACGUUUAAUAAGUUGAUUAUUCGAGUUUUGUUUAAAACAGAAAAAUAUUUCGGUAAAAUUAAGUUGUAUUAGUUGUCAGAACUCAGAGUACUCAUUAGUAUAACAGGUGGAGGAUUACAUUUAAAUAAUGUAUUGGACCUUCAGAAUAGAGAGAAUUGAGUUCAAGUACAAAUAAAUGACUUUAGCUUAAGGAAA